rnacentral:tRNA from 3 species
GUUCAAUCCGGGUGUCGCCU